UCCACCACUUCUACUCAGAUCUUAUGACCUUGCCCUAGCCUACACAACUUUCGCUCAACCUAUACUCUCACAUGACCACUUCUACUCUAUCCACACAAAACCUCCUCACAAUAGAGAUUACAAUAUCCAUAUUCGACUUAAUAACCUCAUCCGCACCUCUUCUCCCUCACUCCCGAUCACCUCAUUCAACCGAUUCUAAGAAAAGAAAAAAAUACAAGUAGAAUUGGUCUUGUUUUAUCAUACCGAGUCAGAAACUCUAAAUUCCCU
rnacentral:lncRNA from 1 species